AUUGAACGCUGGCGGCAGGCCUAACACAUGCAAGUCGAGCGGAUGAAGGGAGCUUGCUCCUGGAUUCAGCGGCGGACGGGUGAGUAAUGCCUAGGAAUCUGCCUGGUAGUGGGGGAUAACGUCCGGAAACGGGCGCUAAUACCGCAUACGUCCUGAGGGAGAAAGUGGGGGAUCUUCGGACCUCACGCUAUCAGAUGAGCCUAGGUCGGAUUAGCUAGUUGGUGGGGUAAAGGCCUACCAAGGCGACGAUCCGUAACUGGUCUGAGAGGAUGAUCAGUCACACUGGAACUGAGACACGGUCCAGACUCCUACGGGAGGCAGCAGUGGGGAAUAUUGGACAAUAGGCGAAAGCCUGAUCCAGCCAUGCCGCGUGUGUGAAGAAGGUCUUCGGAUUGUAAAGCACGUUAAGUUGGGAGGAAGGGCAGUAAGUUAAUACCUAGCUGUUUUGACGUUACCAACAGAAUAAGCACCGGCUAACUUCGUG
rnacentral:rRNA from 1 species